GGUUCGAUGGUGUAGUUGGUUAUCACGUCUGUCUCACACGUGCUCCCGGGUUCCGACCGUGGGUCCUGUGUGCACAGGAGGUCUCCGGUUCGAGCCCGGGUCGAACCA